rnacentral:rRNA from 1 species
CAGGCCUAACACAUGCAAGUCGAGCGGGCCCUUCGGGGUCAGCGGCGGACGGGUGAGUAACGCGUGGGAACGUGCCCUCUGGUUCGGAAUAACUCAGGGAAACUUGAGCUAAUACCGGAUACGCCCUGUGGCUUUGGUGCUGCUGGGGAAAGGCUUACUGCCGGAAGAUCGGCCCGCGUCUGAUUAGCUAGUUGGUGGGGUAACGGCCUACCAAGGCGACGAUCAGUAGCUGGUCUGAGAGGAUGAUCAGCCACACUGGGACUGAGACACGGCCCAGACUCCUACGGGAGGCAGCAGUGGGGAAUAUUGGACAAUGGGCGCAAGCCUGAUCCAGCCAUGCCGCGUGAGUGAUGAAGGCCUUAGGGUUGUAAAGCUCUUUCAGUGGGGAAGAUAAUGACGGUACCCACAGAAGAAGCCCCGGCUAACUUCGUGCCAGCAGCCGCGGUAAU